CAAAUUGAGCAGUAGCACCAUUGACAUUUGUUUCUGUUCACAGCAGGAGACCUGGAAAUCCAAUACUGUCAGGCUCUCAAAAUAGUGUGAAUUGAGAGUACAUGGUCUAGCUACACCCGUGCAUAUUCUACAUCCAACUUACUAUUGUAACCAACUGAACUAGUGGGUCCUUUUUACCACAAGUGUUGGACCAUAGCAGGUUUUUUGUUCAUUUAUGAGAAUUUCACAGGAAAUACACUAUAUAUACAAAAGUAUGUGGACACCUCUUCAAAUGAGUGGAUUUGGCUAUUUCAGCCACCGACAGUGUAUAAAAUCGAGCACACAGCCAUGCAAUCUCCAUAGACAAACAUUGACAGUAGAAUUGCCUUACUGAAGAGCUCAGUGACUUUCAACGUGGCACCGUUAUAGGAUGCCACCUUUCCAACAAGUCAGUUCGUCAAAUUUCUAACCUGCUUGAGCUGCCCCGGUCAACUCUAAGUGCUGUUAUUGUGAAGUGGAACGUCUAGGAGCAACAACAGCUCAGCCGCGAAGUGGUAGGCCACACAAACUCACAUAACGGGACCGUCGAGUGCUGUAGCACGUAGGACACUCACUACCGAGUUCCAAACUGCCUCUGGAAGCAACGUCAGCACAAUAAAUGUUCGUCGGGAGCUUCAUGAAAUGGGUUUCAAUGGCUGAGCAGCCGCACACAUAAGCCUAAGUUCACCAUGCAAAAUGCCAAGCGUCAGCUGGAGUGGUGUAAAGCUCGCUGCCAUUGGACUCUGGAGCAGUGGAAACUCGUUCUUUGGAGUGAUGAAUCACGUUUCACCAUCUGGCAGUCCGAUGAAUGAAUCAUACUUUUGGUCAUGUAGUGUAGUUAAGUGAUGAUAAUGAUAAUGCUGUGUAAUCACACUCACACAUCAUUUGUGAAUCCUUCUUUGUGUGUGUGCAUGGGUGUUGUGUUACCAUGGCAAUUAUACUUCCAUAUCACAAUAAGAGCUGUGAUCUGAGGACGGACAUUAGUACUUUGCUGGCAGAGAAGGUUUGUGUCUCCCACAACUGUCAUGUACUGUCAUGUUGUCUUGUCUCUGUCCUUUCCCUUCACCCUGUCUCCCUCUGCUGGUCGUUGUUAGGUUACCUUUUCUCCCCCGCUUUCCCCCAGCUGUCCCUUGUCUCCUCUAACUACCCAUUCACCCCGUUCCCCACCUGUUCCCUUUUUUCCCUCUGAUUAGGUCCCUAUAUCUCUCUCUGUUUCUGCUCCUGUCCUUGUCGGAUUCUUGUUUGUUUGUGUCAUUCAUGCCUGAACCAGACUGUCGUCAUGUUUGCUGUAACCUUGUCCUGUCCUGUCGGAAUCUGCCGGUCCAUCUGAGCCUACCUAUGUUUGGUAAUUAAAGAAGCUCUGUUUAAGUUGAUUCGCUUUUGGGUCCUCAUUCACGCACCGUAACAACAACCUACAUUCUAAAGGGUGAACAGUCAAUUCUGAGUGAGUGACAAUUGCUGGUAAAAAGUGGAGAUGUGUUCUUGAUGACUCAGGUAAGUAAUAUAACAACACUUAGUCAUAGUAAUGAUAUUUUAAUAAAAUAGGAGUUAUUGUAAUGUCUGAAAUUGUCUUUCAACAAAAAAUGGGGGCCAAAUGGACAUUUGUCUUCCUGCUGAUUGUCUACCACACCAAAGUGUUAGAAUCUCAGGGAGAAGGUAGUACAAUAUAUAAUAAUUUUCAAUAGUUUUACUAUAUUUUGUUAAUUUCUAAUGUUACACUAUCAUCAAGUCUACCCUUUUUUCAGUCUGCCCACAGGGAGUGAAGGCUGAUGUUGCUACACUUAUGAAGGACUCUUUUAGCAUACCACCAAAAGGCUUUAUGAUUAUGAAGAAGUUUCUGGAUACCGUGGUUCGUGCUUUUUUUCAGGCACCGACCAUAUCAGAAUUGGCCUGAUAAAGUGUAGUAACUCACCACAUGUUGUGUUCAGGCUCAAUGACCAUAUGACCAGAAGGGUCAUAUACAAAAUAAAACAACAAUGAUGUCUUUAUUGCGCACACCCCAGGGUUAAUACUUGGUGGAAGCACUUGACAGCCAUUACAGCUGUGAAUCAUUUUGAAUGAGAUUCUAUUAACUUUGCACAAAACCUAUGGCAACAUUUAUCCAUUGUUUUUAUCAAACUUACUCAAGCUCAGUACGUUUGGUUGGGAAUUAUUGACGGACAGCAAUAUUCAAACCUUGUCUCUGAAUUUCUCAUGAAUACAAAACAGCUCUUAGAAAGCAAUGAUGGUGUGUCUUUGGCAUUUACUUUUGUCUACUAUCCCAGGGUUUACAAAAGACUGAGGUGGGAUUUCCUAUAACUUUUUUACCUGGGCUUUGCUCCUUUCAUAUUUCUUUUGAUCCUGACAAACUCCCCAGUCCCUGCUACUGACAAGCAUAACAUGAUGCUGCCUCCAGAAUACUUGAAAAUACAUUGGAUUUCACUCCGUGUUGUGUAGUAUUGAAUUUGACCC
rnacentral:lncRNA from 13 species